rnacentral:rRNA from 1 species
GAGGAAUAUUGGUCAAUGGACGAGAGUCUGAACCAGCCAAGUAGCGUGAAGGAUGACUGCCCUAUGGGUUGUAAACUUCUUUUAUACGGGAAUAAAGUGAGGUACGUGUGCCUUUUUGUAUGUACCGUAUGAAUAAGGAUCGGCUAACUCCGUGCCAGCAGCCGCGGUAAUACGGAGGAUCCGAGCGUUAUCCGGAUUUAUUGGGUUUAAAGGGAGCGUAGGCGGACGCUUAAGUCAGUUGUGAAAGUUUGCGGCUCAACCGUAAAAUUGCAGUUGAUACUGGGUGUCUUGAGUACAGUAGAGGCAGGCGGAAUUCGUGGUGUAGCGGUGAAAUGCUUAGAUAUCACGAAGAACUCCGAUUGCGAAGGCAGCCUGCUGGACUGUAACUGACGCUGAUGCUCGAAAGUGUGGGUAUCAAACAGGAUUAGAUACCCUGGUAGUCCACACAGUAAACGAUGAAUACUCGCUGUUUGCGAUAUACAGUAAGCGGCCAAGCGAAAGCGUUAAGUAUUCCACCUGGGGAGUACGCCGGCAACGGUGAAACUCAAAGGAAUUGACGGGGGCCCGCACAAGCGGAGGAACAUGUGGUUUAAUUCGAUGAUACGCGAGGAACCUUACCCGGGCUUGAAUUGCAACUGAAUGAUGUGGAGACAUGUCAGCCGCAAGGCAGUUGUGAAGGUGCUGCAUGGUUGUCGUCAGCUCGUGCCGUGAGGUGUCGGCUUAAGUGCCAUAACGAGCGCAACCCUUAUCGAUAGUUACCAUCAGGUUAUGCUGGGGACUCUGUCGAGACUGCCGUCGUAAGAUGUGAGGAAGGUGGGGAUAACGUCAAAUCAGCACGGCCCUUACGUCCGGGGCUACACACGUGUUACAAUGGGGGGUACAGAAGGCAGCUACACGGCGACGUGAUGCUAAUCCCGAAAGCCUCUCUCAGUUCGGAUUGGAGUCUGCAACCCGACUCCAUGAAGCUGGAUUCGCUAGUAAUCGCGCAUCAGCCACGGCGCGGUGAAUACGUUCCCG